rnacentral:lncRNA from 1 species
UUACUAUAAGAAUUGAAUUGCUACUAAAAUAACAUUUCAGCAUCCAAAUAUACAAUAAUGUCAAUAUUAAUCCAGCUCUCUAAAGUUGAGAUCCAAAAGCCUGCUACUUCUCAUUGGGAUCACUUGGCGCGUCAAUGUUUGGCGUGCAAACUUCUUGGAAACGCAUGACUUGACCCAGGAAGCGAUAACCUCUCGCUUCGCACAGCUUAGUCGGUUUAGGCGGCCAAGUGCUGGCUUUUAAUAACACUGGUAUGUGGGUCUUGAACAAACCACAGAAAGAAUUUUCUCUCUGGGGGAAUACAUGUGGAUGCCUUUGUCUACCACAUGUACGUUGCUUGUGUGUACUCUAAAAGAUAACUUUUUGGUUGGACUUCUGGUGCAGUGAUGCUCUAAGCUUGCUUAAACAAGAACUUGAAGCUCCUAACGCAAUUUUAUCUUUGUUUGAUUCUUUUCUCGGAAUAAUACUUGUGUAUCCCUGAAAUAAGAAACAUGAUCAAAUUGAAAAUGGAAAUUCUAUAAAACUUGCACUAUCCUGAAGUCCCGUUUGCACUAGGUAAAUCAACAUGUAGGCUUGAACACUCAGAUGCAGCAUUCAGAAUUUGCAACUUCUGUGCAGAGUGAAUAAGUUCUUAACCAACGAAUUGUAAGGCACAGACUCAAACUUCUUACUUAACACUUGCUCCUAACAUUUACAAAACUAACUGUAAAUGCAUGAUGGCGUCACCAAUUGUCUCAUGAUUUACUGCUGGAUGAUGCUUAUGUCACAAUACACAGUUAUUUUGGUGCUUAUAAGGUCUCUCCUGUACAUACUUAUCCAAAAACUAUACAUAAUGAUAAGAAAUAAGGUGUGAUACAUAAAUCUUAAAGAAUGUAUCCAUCAGUAUGUGGCAUAGAGGGCACCCAAGGGUGUGGCCUAGUGGUUAAUGAACCCGGAGUAGAACCAUGAGGUUUUAGGUUCAAAUCCCAGGGAGGCAAAAAAUACUAGGUAAUUUCUUCAUCUGCCCAAGGCUUGGUGGGCAGAGUUACCUGGUAUCUAUGCUGGUGGGAGGAGUAGGUACCCAGUGGAAUAGUCGAAGUGUGCCGAAGCUGCCCCAGACACCAGUAUGAUAAAAAAGAGCAUGUGGCAUAGUGGAACAUUGACAUUUUGUAUGAUCUCAAUAGGAAAAAUCACAGAUUUCACUUUUUGUGGAAUAUUCUUAUCUUGUCCAAUCGUGUGUGUUCGUGUGUGUGGGUGUGAGAGAGGCAGAGAUGCUAGUGUAUGAUCUCAAUAGGAAAAAUCACAGAUUUCACUUUUUGUGGAAUAUUCUUAUCUUGUCCAAUCGUGUGUGUUCGUGUGUGUAUGCGCGUGUGUGUGGGUGUGAGAGAGGCAGAGAUGCUAGUGUGUUUGAGAAAGGAGGAAAUGCUGUGCUGGUUUUUACGGUAACAAUCAGUAGCAUAUAUGAUACCCCCCUGCAAUUGAAUUAAUUAGCACUACAGUACUGUAGUAGCAAUCCCACGUUCGAGGAAAGGCGGAUCUUGCAUGCUCAUAUUUUCACAUGAGAUAUAUAAAUAUCAGAAAUAUGGCAUAUAUUUGUAGAUUAGGUAAUCCUACUCUACCUCUACUUCAUGCUCUCAAAGGGCUCAGGAGAUACUCAACCCCUUAAUCCAGUGAAAUGCUGCAUGUCAACCUGCUGCUUUGGUAGUUUGGCAGGGGGUACAGCCAUCCAAUAUAGUUCCUAGUCCCACCAACUUUUCUGGAUGGCAUCAUAGAAUAGUCAAGCAGUUGACUAUCCAAUAUAGUUCCUAGUCCCACCAACUUUUCUGGAUGGCAUCAUAGAAUAGUCAAGCAGUUGAUCUGAAGACUAAAGAAAUAUUCAACAUGUUGGCAUAGUUAAAAUAAAUUACUGUGUUGAAUAAGAUCCUGUAAAAUUAAUGAGUCUGCUAAUUGCAUUAAAUGGAUGUGAGCUAAAUUAUGUUGUACCUUAAAACACAAUGCUUCCUCUGUCCGCUGCUCAUUACAUACUUGAGUCAAACAAAGCGUUAUUGUGUUUGUUCUCGUGCUCAUAUGGUCUUUCUUGCUGCAGCUCGAUCGUCAAACUCUAUCUAUUGCAGUCCGCUUUUUGAAGGCAAAAACUCCUGAGCAGAGGGCUGCUGUUGAUUUAGACACCCACUACUCAAAGGUUGAUUAAUUGUUCAUUUAAUAGUGCUGACAAAUAAGAGGCUUCACUUCCUUCCUUCUCAAAAGUUGCAUGAACAUGCCAUGUGUAAACACGGUUUCAUGUGCAUUAUUUUUUAUAAAAUUGCUGAUUGAGUUGGUUGAUUAUGACUAGAUAUCAAAUUUAAUGAGAUAUCAUUUCUCAUGGCCAAGGAAUGAUUUGUAACUAACAUAUCUGUGUUUUUUACUUUACAGGAAUACCUCGAGGAAUAUGUGGGAACUAAAACCCGAAGAGCAAUAUUAUAUCAAGUGAGUGACCUAAACACAUAAUGUUCUAGAUGUUUCUUCGGCAUCUUUUAUUUUGUAAAGAUACUAAGGUGCUUACUAGGAUCUUUUUUUUGGGUGUGGCAGGAAUACAUCAAAGGCAUAUCAGCAUCCGGGAUGCAGUCAAAUUGUGGAUUUGAUGGGCAGAUAAAUGCUUGCUGGACUCAUAAGAUAUCGCGGACUGAUCUUGAAUCUAUCUGCUCUGCUGGGUUCCUCAUAUCUGUUAUUCACGGCAGGUAUAUUUAUCUGUAAUUCGAAGGCAUUAUCCACUACAGAUAUAAUCUCGAACAGCCAGAGAUAUUAUUUAGAUGUAAAUCAGUAUUUUUUUGAAAGGUUAUCUAGAUAUAAAUCAGUAUUUCAUCUGCGUAGGGACGACGUCAUUGCUCAAUUAUGCCAUGCGAAGAGUCUUGCAAAGAAAUUAUAUCCGUAUGCUAGAAUGGUAGAGCUUCCUGGAGGACAUCUUGUUAGUCAUGAAAGGACAGAAGAGGUAUAAUUUUAUGUAUUUAUUAUUCUAAUACAGAACCAUAGGCGCUCUGCGUGUCAUGUUAAAGUUAUGUACUAAGAUGUAGGUCAAAAAAGUGUCUGAUUCUAUCUAAGAUAUUGUGAAUUUGCUCUAAAGAGCCGGCGGGAUGGGUUACUCUUACUAGAACUAUUGAUCUGCAACUUUCUAGUGAUUCCGAGGAUCAUUUGGCUGGUGUAAAAAUCAAUUACCUGGCGCUUGAAGGAGUCACUAAUAGGCCAAAAUCAAUCUUUUGGUGGAGUCACUAAUAGGACAUUCCGAAAUGCAUAAUACGUUAUGAGAUUCUCAAAGUUUUUGUACUCUCUGUGGCUUUAAAUGAUUUGACUAUCUGUGAACACCACAUAAAUACCAAAUUUCUUUAACCCACCCAACUCGCCCGUAAUAAAACCCUACUCGGCCUACGUUUUAAACGGGUUGAAAAUGGGUCAACCCAUACUAGAAUCCUUUCAAGCACACUGGACACUACAAUCUGACAAUUCUUAUAAGUGUUCAGGUAUCUGAGUAUUUUUAUUGCAUUUGGUUUUUUAGCAAAUGAGAGGGUAUUUUAUACAAUGCAGACUGUUUGGAUCUAGCAAUUCUUUCUCUUUUCACUUUUGUUUUCAGAGCUAGGGCCUUGUAGUGUCAUGCAGAACAUCAAUGAAUGUUUCGACAGCAUUCAACUUGUCGGUUCUUGAAAAAGAUAAAAUAAAUAGGAGAAUCAAACAUUCACAUGGAUAUCAUGAUCAAAUGAAAGCAUUAUGUUGCACUUCUGGAUUUAAGAGUCAAUUAGCAGUUUGUCUCUAUAAAUAUGUUUGCUGACCUGGUUUCGUUACAGUGCUAAGCAUAAUACAAAAUUUUAGAUAUGUCCAAUCUAUUGGCAUUUGUGUGGCUGUAGUCAUAUAAAGCUGAUUGUUAAUGGAAGAAGUAUAUGACGAUUUUUUAAAAAUUUAGGUCAAUGACGCACUUCUUGAGUUGAUCAAGGCAUCCGCAAGUAAGAUUAGCCCAUAUGAUUGGACAAAUUUGCCCAAGAAAAGCACUGGUAAGUACUGAUAUCUGUUUCUUUUACCUACUGUUCUAAGAAAAAGGCUGCAUUGUGAAACUAGUCUAUUUGGGGUAGCGGGAGAUAAGAGGAAAAUGUGUAUCUCCGUAGGAUAUAUAAACUUAUAUGAAUCACUAAUUCCCAUAAUUUGUUUAAGCUUAUUGGUUAAGUUGCAUCCCUCUAAUAGUUGGUUGUCUUUGUCAGGAUGGAGUAUAACCCCACUUACAAGAAAAAGUUCUCCAGCGGGAAGCAAUGUGUCUGUCAUGGUUGACAUUGUAGCAAGGCUCCAGAUCUUCUUGGUGUUCUUUUUUGGCUUGUUUAUGUUGGCAUUUGAGUUUAUGCGAAGAGGUGUAAGUCGUCUAAAACCAGUAAGAGUAAGCGCAGCCCUCACAUGAAGCUAUGGUGGCGAAUUCAGUCCAAUGGUAACUUAACCGGUGAAACCGAAAGGAUGGGAUAAUUAAUCUUAAUCCGUGUUUCAAGAUGACGAUGAAUUAACUGUACAGUGUCUCACAUACAAGAAUCACGUCACAGGAGGAAGGUUAAAAAAGCGAAACUACACUGUGCUGACAAAAGGAUCAGCAAAAGGAAUUACAGCCCUUGCUACCUUUAAUUUUGUAGUUGGUUAAGGGCAUAGAGCAUUUUCUGAAUUUCGUUGUAUUGACAACUGCAAAUCAUUAUUCCUUUUAUUAAUGAUAAUUAUCCUUUUUCAAUGAAUCACCCAAGAAAAACUGCAGACUUCAAGCAAAAAGUUAGUGAAGAUCCAAGACCCAAGUCUCAAAAUCUUCAACGCUUCAAUGAUUCUCAGCAAUCAGCAUGCAAUAUCACAUAAAUUUUUAAACAGCAACAUACUUUCUGACCAGAUUGUUUUAACUUUUACUAUUACAAAGAGGGUAAAAACGCAAAGGAUGUCAUUUUCAUUUUCUAGUUACAGCUAGUCAGAUAGGGUUCUUGUUCCAUGUCUCAGCAAACUUGUAGCUUUUUGGCCAAUUUGCAAAAAUCAGUUUAUUUUGAAAAGUAUUUUUUUUCAAAAGUACUUUUGGUGAGAAACAGUUUGUAAUUGUUUAAUUAAUUAGAAAAACACUAGUGUUUGACCAAGCUUUUAAAAAUUGUUUCUAAGCGUAUUUUUCUCAAAAGUGCUUUUGGAGAGAGGCUACCUUUUUUCUGCUUCUCCAAAACUGGUUUUGUUUAUCCUCAAAAGCACUUCUUUUUACUGUUAACCACCAAAAACUAGCAUGUCUACGUAAUUCAUCCGACGAAAUCAAUAAAUCUAAACUACCAAACAAGAAUCUUUUAAAAAAGGAACAAGGACCAAGGUAAAACAAACAAGAAAACAAGGACAUAAGCUAACCUGAAAUGGUUCACAGUACUUUCCUCUCUUCUCUUUCAAUUUUCAUCACGCCAGGGAAACAUCCUUCUGCAGGCUUAAUCCUUUCCAUCGAGUAAUAAAUCCCACCUUUAAUUAUUAAUCCAGCUGCUAAGUAGAAAAAGAAUGAAUACUGUUAAGCUUAUCACCAAAUUUGUGAGUUAUAAAAAAAAAUACUGUACAUCUUUUAGUCAAGGCUUCAAAGGUUGAUAGAGAAUUUUGCAUGGUCCCUUUAAUUUAAAACUGAGAGAACCCCAUAACAUGUAUUAUAGGAACCUAUCCAAAUAUUGAUUCCUAAAACGAUUACCUCAACACCAAAAUGAAACGUUAACAUGAACUCAUUACUCAUAUACUAUGAAACAACAAUAUGGUUUCUCCCAUAAGUGGAGUUUUUUAGCCAAAUAACAUCAAGUGCAGUAUUUAAUGGUAAAACAAAAGGCAAUCACUUUGACUUAUCUUUAUUUCUCUCUAUUCUCUAAGUAUGGUUCUCACUUCUCAAUCCCCUCAAAAGCUCCACUUCUAUUUCCCUUUCCAUUAACAACAUGCAGUAAAUAACAAUCUCACAAGUAGAAGAAUCAGGCUAGAAGGAACAAACAGCCACAACAUACAACUAGGAAAGAAAUGGAACUUAAUUUUUGAAAUGGGAUAAACUAGAAAAGAAUAUUGAGAAAGAAGUAAUUAACUCAAUAAAGUUACUGGAUACCCGUAUAAAAUAGUCGAGUUGCACGUAAAUAGAAAAAUAACUAACAACACACAGAGGGAGAAAGAAAGAGACUUGCCUAUCUUACUUUACCUUGUUCUUUGUAGAAGAUGAAAAUAUUAAUUAGCAGAGGAGAGAUAUGCAUCAACACAUGGUUUUUUUAGUAGAGAAAGUAUAGCAAGGGGUUACAGAAAAUGAAUGAAAGAGUAUAAAUAAAGAUGCUUAGGUUGGCGUCUGAAUUAUACCCUUUUGAUUCCAAUUUUAUUUUUGGAAAAUCAAUAAUAACGAGGCAGAUAAGCCAACAGUUGGUAAUAUACCAUUGGAAUAUUCUUGUGCAACUUACACAUAGAUUUCUGGCCAGACACAAUUAAUACCAUCCAAAUCGCUUGUUUAGCUUUUACCAGAGACUCUUAAUGGUGGCAUAAUUCCCCUGAU